rnacentral:rRNA from 1 species
GUGAGGAAUUUUCCGCAAUGGGCGAAAGCCUGACGGAGCAAUACCGCGUGAAGGAUGACGGCCUAUGGGUUGUAAACUUCUUUUCUCAGAAAAGAAUAUCUGACGGUAUCUGAGGAAUAAGCAUCGGCUAACUCUGUGCCAGCAGCCGCGGUAAGACAGAGGAUGCAAGCGUUAUCCGGAAUGAUUGGGCGUAAAGCGUCUGUAGGUGGUUUAUCAAGUCUUGUGUCAAAUCCUAGGGCUUAACCCUGGUAAGGCAGAAGAAACUGAUAGACUUGAGUUCGGUAGGGGCAGAGGGAAUUCCCGGUGGAGCGGUGAAAUGCGUAGAGAUCGGGAGGAACACCAAAGGCGAAGGCACUCUGCUGGGCCUUGACUGACACUGAGAGACGAAAGCGAGGGGAGCGAAAGGGAUUAGAUACCCCGGUAGUCC